GCCGGGCAUGGUGGCGCAUGCCUGUAAUCCCAGCUACUCGGGAGGCUGAGGCAGGAGAAUCGCUUGAACCCGGGAGGCAGAGGUUGCAGUGAGCCAAGAUCACGCCACUGCACUCCAGCCUGGGCAACACAGCGAGACUCCAUCUCAA
rfam:Nomascus leucogenys chromosome 14, whole genome shotgun sequence.